rnacentral:rRNA from 1 species
CCUACGGGGGGCAGCAGUGGGGAAUAUUGGACAAUGGGCGAAAGCCUGAUCCAGCCAUGCCGCGUGUGUGAAGAAGGCCUUCGGGUUGUAAAGCACUUUCAGUGGGGAAGAAAGCCUUGGGGCUAAUACCCUCGAGGAAGGACAUCACCCACAGAAGAAGCACCGGCUAACUCCGUGCCAGCAGCCGCGGUAAUACGGAGGGUGCGAGCGUUAAUCGGAAUUACUGGGCGUAACGCGCGCGUAGGCGGUCUGAUAAGCCGGUUGUGAAAGCCCCGGGCUCAACCUGGGAACGGCAUCCGGAACUGUCAGGCUAGAGUGCAGGAGAGGAAGGUAGAAUUCCCGGUGUAGCGGUGAAAUGCGUAGAGAUCGGGAGGAAUACCAGUGGCGAAGGCGGCCUUCUGGACUGACACUGACGCUGAGGUGCGAAAGCGUGGGUAGCAAACAGGAUUAGAUACCCUAGUAGUC